rnacentral:rRNA from 1 species
AUUGAACGCUGGCGGCAUGCCUUACACAUGCAAGUCGAACGGCAGCACGGGAGCAAUCCUGGUGGCGAGUGGCGAACGGGUGAGUAAUAUAUCGGAACGUGCCCAGUCGUGGGGGAUAACGUAGCGAAAGCUACGCUAAUACCGCAUACGAUCUAUGGAUGAAAGCGGGGGAUCGCAAGACCUCGCGCGAUUGGAGCGGCCGAUAUCAGAUUAGGUAGUUGGUGAGGUAAAGGCUCACCAAGCCGACGAUCUGUAGCUGGUCUGAGAGGACGACCAGCCACACUGGGACUGAGACACGGCCCAGACUCCUACGGGAGGCAGCAGUGGGAACUUUGGACAAUGGGCGCAAGCCUGAUCCAGCAAUGCCGCGUGCAGGAUGAAGGCCUUCGGGUUGUAAACUGCUUUUGUACGGAACGAAACGGUGAGGCUCUAAUACAGUUUGCUAAUGACGGUACCGUAAGAAUAAGCACCGGCUAACUACGUG